AAUAAUAAACCAUACAUGUAUAAUGUACGUUCCUUUGGUAUUAAGAGCUCAAACACCCAGCAGAUGAUGCUGUGUGCGCAAUUAAAAACAAACAACAACAACCAGACAAUAUGGUUCUGUGGCUAUAGGUUGAAGUUUUCCAAGACCUUGUUAUAAAAAAAUGCACUGUGUAUUUUUUUUUUGCCUUAUCCUAUUGUAGCUAGAGAUCUUAGCCUGCGGGCAAUGUAAUCUAUUGAAAUUAAAAUAACAUGCAGAUCUGUAACUAGAACGUUGGUAUUUAGGUGUCUUUCAUAAACAACCCCAAAUCCCUGCAACAUCCACCCACUAAAAAUCCUUAGUCUAUUUAGCACAAUGAUGCUUCAGAAACUGUUUAGAGAAACAGAGCCUUCCAGUCUGCUUCGCCAGGCUCUGUGACACAAACACACACUUGCAUCAUCCAUUCCUACUUUUCAAGUCCAGUAUGUUGUGGAUGCUCAGAAAAGGGCAUCUCGACAGUAAACUGCAGUCUUCAUAAAUAACGCAGCCAAGCCUCGUGUUCUUAGAUGGCACGGAUAAAUGUAACAGAUCAGGCAGCCAUUCAGACUGUAUGUUAAUACCCCAGCGUCUGCGAAAAGUUGUCCGGUUAUUACUCGCAUCAAGGCCAGCAGACAAACAGCUCGCAGGAGCAGAUAACGUAACUGGCUGUUUGUUGAAAAGCAGAAAGGCCAAGGUACCUGCAGUUUCACCAGGAGCCUUACUUCGCUGCUGUCUUAGCUAGGUACGCAGUGGGUCCUGCACUGCCACCACGCUCUGGAGGUGUUGCUUCCCCUCUCCCACUCAGACCCAGACCUGGAUUUCAAGGGGGGCUUUAAUGGAGCUGUUCAACCAGACUGUGUGAAGGAAUAAUGCGGAUAAGACCUUACACUGUGGUAAUCACAAAAGCAACAGCAGCUAAAGCCUUCAAUCAAAUAAGCCUGUUUUUAUUUUCUGCCUGAGGGCUUGGUCUUUUGACAAGUGUAAGUAAUGUCUUGUUCUUUAUUUUUAGUGGACGAUAAUAAACUUGAGUAUAUAGAAAGUCA
rnacentral:lncRNA from 1 species